UCAUUGGCCAAGCAGCAUUGUAACUAAUACAAGUCUCUCUGUGUAUUCAUUUGGGCCUAACUUGGGCAGGCGGCUGCCAUAAAGCUUACACGUGGCGGUGGGGCUCAGCGGCUUUUGGCAGAAAGAUUUAUCGUAACAUCCACUAACCAACAGUGUCCAGUAACACAAGGGUUCCACUUCAGUGUUUCCAAUCUCUUGUUUAUCACAGCUGAUUCUUCAGCUGCAGGUGACCAGAAUGACAGACUCGUGACUGAAAAUAACAAACAGUCCCAACAGAGUAUUUAAAUUUCCCUCUAAAAUUUCACAAGCCAGGUUUCCAUCUUCUGCACGGCCCUCAACAUUCUCAUCAUCCACGGUCCUACAUAAUACCCCACUUAGCUGUCAACCCUCAAUGGCUUUUCUAGCCCAAAUUUCCAAAGUUCUUCCACAAUUUCCCAAAGCAGACAUUAAAAUAGGAAGUAGUCAAUAAGUAUGUUAAAAGGUGUUCAAGUUACAAAUCAGAAAAUGCAAAUUAAGAUCACAAUAAGAGAUCUCCUUCCAUAUGUUAGUGCGGCUUUGAAAACAAAGACAAGAAAAUACGGCUAUUUAUUUUUAUUAUUUUUUAUUUUUGAAUUGUAAUUAGACCAAUUUUAAAUUAGAAACAAGCUUCUUUUACAUGUCAAUCCCAGUUCCCUCUCUCUCCCCUUCUCCCCUGCCCACCUCCACCCCUAUCCUAAACCCUUUCUCCUCCCCAGGUAGAAGAUGAGGCCUUCCAUGGGGGAUCUACAAUGUCUGUCAUAUCAUUUGGAGUAGGACCUAGACCCUCCCCCAUGUGCCUAGGCUGAGAGAGUAUCCCUCUAUGUGGAGUGGGCUCCCAAAGUCCAUUUGUGUACUAGGGAUAAAUACUGAUCCACUACCAGAGGAAAUACUACUAUUCAAAAAUAAUAAUUUUUAUGUGUACAGGUGUUUGGACUGCAUAUAUGUCUUUGCAUCACUUGCAUGGCUGGCAUCCAUGGAGACCAGCAGAGGGCUUCAGAUUCCCUGAAACUGGAGUAAUAGAGUGUUGCACACUGUCUUGUGGGUGCAAAAAUUGAACCUGAGUCUGCUAGAAGAUAGCCAGUGCUCUUAAUUUCUGAGCCUCUCUCCAGUCCCUAGACAUAAUUUUUAUUACAUUUUCAUUUAUUUUAAUAUCACAUAAGUGUUUGACAAAUGAGUAAAAUAAAAGAACUGAACAGUCCCUUGGUUGGCAGUGAGAUUGUUGAGAAAAUUGCAGAGCUUUAUUUUAUUGUCUGAUGAUGCAGACUUGAAUUUCUGUUGACAAGGGUGGUAGAAAACCCUUGUUAAUGUGUUAGAACAUGGCAGAAAUCUACAAGACAAUACUUAACAAAAAGUUGAACAAAAUGGAUGUAGUUAAGCAAAUUGUUUGUUCUGUUAUCUUGAGUUGGUGAUCUGCCCUGAGUCUAGAAAAAGACCAGAAAGGGUGUCUUCUUUGACAUACAUAUCAGUUUCAGUCUCUAACUAUUUUAGUAUCAUUCUGGCUCUAAGAGAUGUUAAAUAUCUGAGUGCUCUCUCCCCUUGUAGGUAUGGAUAGAGUUCUUGGAAGCUGUGUUUGUUACAGUAAAAAUGAGUUUUUACUGUAAUCGUCUCUUUUUCCAUAAAGAUGCAGUGACUUAGAAACAAUUCAGUUAAAGAAAAAAAGGAAAUGCCAAGGUUCAUUAAAGUGCCACAGAGUCAGGAUUCUGAAGGAGUACAGCUAGCUUACAGUGCUACUCACCUUCUUUGUCGAUGCUGAGCAAUGGAUAUCUAGUACAACAAAUUGCAGACAGGACCUCCAACUUCUGAUCUAGUAGUUACUGCAGCAGAUCCUCUAUAAACUUCCAUGAUUCUAGUGCUUACCAUUCUAUAGCCCCAUGACUGGGGAUUCCUAACCAAGGGGAUUCUAUCACUACACUUCCCACAUUGCUGUUACACAACAUACUCAUCAACUGCAAGAGUAUCAGAAUGAGUGCCUGCAUCUGAAUAUCAUUCCUGAAGCAUUUCUUCUUGUCUAAUCUGAACUCAGAGAUGGAAUAUAAGAGUAACCUUCCCAGCCCCUGGGAGGGCAGGCAGGCUGGCUGGCAACUCAGCUAUCAUCCAGGACCAGGUCUAGUGCUUUAAGUCUGUCCACCCCAACAUACACUCCAUCUAUGAGCUGCUGGAAGGAGCUGGUCAUGAAGAACCAGAGAUGCAGUAUCACCACGACUCUGAGCAACAGCAGGCUAUCCUAGAGGAGUCUCAGUGAGGGUCCAGUAUUGAUAGUUCUAUCAGAAACCCCUAACCUUGAACCAGACCAAUGAUGUGUUGGAAUGAACAUUUGCAUGGCAAGUUGUUUGGGGGGGAUCAUACUGUUUGACAAACUGCAGCUUCCAAUGCCACUACUACUAAAUGAAUAUGUGAUGGAGAGAUGGGAAAGACAAGAUGGCGGAACCAAUUGGUGCAUGGGUGGUGAAGAGAGGUGGAACUAGAGACAUAAAAGCUGUGACUGGUGAGAGAGAAGGCUGUGGAGGGGUCUGAAACAUGUCCUUGCUGAGUGGGGCCCACAGGGUGGUGUGCUGCAGCCUGGGUCUUUGAACAAGCUGCCUUGGCACACAAUCACCCUGGGUCUGACCAGUGAUAGGAUGUCCAAGAUGAAGAAUUAGAUUGGGC
ensembl:lncRNA